UACAGGGGGUGCAAACGUUGCUCGGAAUCAUUGGGCGUAAAGCGCACGUAGGCGGUUCGUUAUGUCGGAUGUGAAAGCCCUUGGCUUAACCGAGGAAGUGCAUCCGAAACUGGCGAGCUAGAGUACUAAAGAGGAUCGCGGAAUUCCCGGUGUAGAGGUGAAAUUCGUAGAUAUCGGGAGGAACACCGGUGGCGAAGGCGGCGAUCUGGGUAGAUACUGACGCUGAGGUGCGAAAGCGUGGGGAGCAAACCGG
rnacentral:rRNA from 1 species